UGAGUUCUUGAUGAUUUUUUCUGCUGUCUUCGCCACUCUCUGCAGGCGUUUGCGGUCCAUAGUAGAUGUGCUGUCGUACCACACGGUGAUGCAGCUGGUCAAUAUGCUCUCAAUGAUGCAGCUGUAGAAGUUGCUGAGGAUCUUAGGAGUCAUCCCAAACUUCCUCAGCCUCCUCAGGAAGUACAGCCGCUGUUGAGCCUUCAUGACUAGCUGUGUGGUGUUUAAUGUCCAGGUGAGGUCCUCACUGAAGUGGACCCCGAGGUAUUUAAAGCUGAAAUGAAUGAAGCAGCAGCAGCACAACAGACACAUAUUACUACUAUAUUAUUAUUACUUUGGCUACCCCCCCAUUUUCAGGGGUGCUCUUUCCGUUGGUGGCAGUGCCCGGCAGCUAUGACCUUCGGUCCCUGAGAUAUUCAGGGAAAACACUCCCCAUUAUAAGCGAAUGGGAUGGUCAGUAGUGAAAGUUUCACCAAGUGUGGAGGCCCAAAUCGUUCCUCCAGAAUAGUGAUAGGAGCAUGUUUCAGGUCAUUUGUAGUCUUGGUGGUGGUGGUUUAUAGUGGUGGAUUUGUUUUGGAGAGCAUCACAUUUAUAUUUGUACUGUAAUUCUGUUCAUACUACCAUAAUUAUAUUCCACUGAUAAUUCUGUUUAUAUUUAUACUGUUCAUUCUGUUCAUCCUGCCAUAUCUGCCAUAUUUAUACUCUUGAUAUGGUCUAGAUUUGACACUGCCUCUGUGUGGCACAAAACAACUGGAAACAGUGGCUCUGCCUGCACAAAAGCACUGGAGAUGACGAAAGAAGCUUCGAGCCACUUUGUGAAGAAAGGUUCAUCUUCUGAACUAAAGUUGCAAUUUUAAGCUUCUCUCGCCAUCUCCAAUGCUUUUGUGCACGCAAAGCCACUGUUUUCAGCUGUUUUGUGCACACAGAGCCACUUUAUGAAUAAAUCACAUGAUGACCAGUGGAGAGACCUUGGACCAUCAUUUCAGACAGUCAGUGACUGGCAUUUAACCAUGACGCCUGAUCUAUUCACCUUGCAUGAAUGCUUUCAGUUUCAAAUUUUCUCCAAAUCAGUGUUUUCCUGCCACACGAUCAUUGUAUGUGGUUGAUGACUAUCUCCAUUUUCAUAUCAUGUUGUCAAACCAAUCAGAUGUUCUCCUGCUUGUAGACUUGCCAGAAAUGCUGUGGGCAAAGGACAAAUACGAUGUGGGCCUCAUCAGAAACUGUGACCCAGUUACAAUUACCCCAAAAUCUGAAUAUCGACCAUGUAAACAAUGGUACCCAGUCAGACAGGAAGCUGUGGAUAGGAUACGCCCUGUUUUUGCAUCUCUCCUGCAGGCUGGUGUAAUUAUCCCCUGCCCUGAUUCGCCAGUCCAUACUCCACUGUUUCCAGUUAAGAAAAUCAGAGUGUUGUAUAUUGGGGUAGCGAUGAUGUGAAGAUGAUGAAGGAAUCGCCGAUUGACACCGUUUGAUUGUUUGAAAGGUUUAUUACAAAAAGUUCAGCAUCAAUACAAGCACUGCAAUCUGCCUGGAGAGAGAUCUGGGGCCAAUGUGAAUCUCUUCUCCCUAACAGCUUCAACUCCCCGUUUAUAUAGGAGAGUUGUUUUUGUGAAUCUAAAGAAAACACAUCUGGCUUUCAUCCAGCCCACCUCAUCUGUUUGGUAACAGGGAGGGAAAGGCACCAGCUCAAAUUUAGGGUGACAGUUUAAGCCGUGACCUAAUGCAUUAAUGUAUACAUUCAGUUUUUCUCAGAAAACCUAAACUUAUAGGCCUCUGAAUUCCUCAGGACCUAUGGGCCUCAAACUCAGAGAUCAGCUUCCUUUAAAGAGAACACAACACAUGACAUUUCAGACACCACAAGAGAUAAAGGUCAGCCUAUUGAGUGGUGAUUUGUGCAGGAUUUGAAGGCUGUGAAUGACGCUGUAAUUGCUCGAUCACCCAUUGUUCCCAACCCGUACACGUUGCUUUCCCAAAUUCCGCCUGAUGCAGAGUGGUUUUCGGUUGUAGAUUUAUCCAAUGCUUUUUUUUAAACGUUCCUGUCCACAAGGACAGCCAGUACUGGUUUGCUUUUAACUUUGAAAACAAGGCCUACACAUUCAGACGCCUUUGUCGAGGCUACUGUGAGCCUACUUCUCUGCUAAACUUGACCCAGUGGCAGCUGGCCCUCCACAAAGCUUGUGUGCAGUGGCCGCCUGUGAAAAAGCAGUUCUUGCCUCACGUGACAUCGUAGGCUACUCUGACUUGACACUUCUUGUUACUCAUGCUGUGUCUCUCAUUCUCACAGAACAGAAGACCUCACAUCUUUCUGCUGCUAGCUGUUCUUCUUGAUAUGCCCAACAUCACAGUGAAACGCUGUUCAACCUUGAAUCCAGCCACGCUUCUCCCGCUUCCAGAUGACGGGUGGAGAACACAACUGUGUUGCUGAACUACAAGUCCAGUGUUCACCACAACCUGACCUUUCUGAUGAACUAUGACUUGAUUCUGUAUGUAAAUGGGUCCGCCUCACGUGAACCCGGUCUCUGGUACUAACUUUGUUGGUUUUUCUGUCUAUUCUGAUAGUGACAUUCUCUUCUCUGGUCCUUUUCCUCAUCACCUCUCAGCCCAGGCAGCAGAACUCAUUGUGCUCACUGAAAGCAUGCAAAUUGGCUACUGGUAAAACACUCACAGUUUACAAAGACUCCGGAUAUGCAUUUGGUUUCACUCAUGAUUUUGGUGCUCUCUGCAGGCACAGGUAAUUUUUGGUUGUUCACCAUGGCCUCACCAUUAGAAGGUAAAUCUCACUGCUUAGUGAUGGUCAACAUGUGGUCAAAAUGGGUUGAAGCCUUUCCUGCUUCAAAACAAACUGCAAGUGUAGUCACCAAAGCACUGUUACAAGACAUCAUUCCACAAUGGGGGAUUCCUAGCAGAAUCUAAAGUGACAAAGCUGUCAAACAACUCAGCUCUCAUCUAGGAAUGGAUGUGCGAACACACUGUGCAUAUCAUCCAGCCAGUGGCGGAGCUUUGGAACGAGAAAAUGCACACUCAAAACGAAGCUCGCAAAGUGCUGUGAAGACAGAGGUCUCACAUGGACAAAGGUCCUGCCUCUGGCGCUGAUGUAUAUGAGGAUGAGAAAACGAACCAGGUCUAACCUUUCACCUUAUGAGAUUCUUUUUGCAACUCCUCCCCA
rnacentral:misc_RNA from 1 species